UUUCCGUAGGUGAACCAGCGGAGGGAUCAUUAAAGAGUUGCAAAACUCCGAAACCAUUGUGUACAUACCUUCCACGUUGCUACUGCGGGUUGGUCUCGGUCUUGGGGGUCCCCGGCCCUUCCAGGUGCCCGCUGGAGGCUCCUACCGCUUGAUCUUUUAAGGACCCACUGAGACUUAGUACUUACUACAACAAAACUUUCAACACUGGAUUCUCUGGUUCUCGCAUCGAUGCAGAACGCCGCACGUCGGAAGAGCACUCACCUGACCUUCAGUCAUUUC
rnacentral:misc_RNA from 1 species